rnacentral:lncRNA from 1 species
GCCGGCUGCGGUGGCCGCAAGCCACGGCGGCCGCAAGCCGCGGCGGCAAGAGAGGCCGUAAGCCGGCCGGGGAGCCGCCGGCUGCGGCUCGGGCCCUCCCCGAGCCAGAUCUCCCGUCCGCGGGAGAAGAAGAAGAAGAAAAAAAAAAAAAGGAACUUACCGGUGGUUGAUCCGCAGCCGCAACCGCGGGCGCCGGCCUCGGCCACGGGCCGCGGGUCGUCGGCCAUGGGGAUGCGGGUCGCCGGCAGCGAGACGCAGAUGCGGCCGUGGGCCGCCGAAGCGGCCGUGGGCCACGGGCACGACCGCGGGCACGGCCGCGGGCGCGACCGUGGGCACCGCAGGCCGGCCGCUGGGCGCCGUCGGCCGCUACCCACUCCUCCCAAGCCGCUCGAGCUCGCCCUCCUCCCUCCACGGGAGAAGAAAUGAGAAGAAAGAGGGAAGGAGGAGUCGGGAGAGGAGAAGAGGAGGAAGAAAAAAAAA